rnacentral:rRNA from 1 species
AUUGAACGCUGGCGGCAGGCUUAACACAUGCAAGUCGAGCGGGGGGAGGUAGCUUGCUACCUAACCUAGCGGCGGACGGGUGAGUAAUGCUUAGGAAUCUGCCUAUUAGCGGGAGACAACAUUUCGAAAGGGAUGCUAAUACCGCAUACGCCCUAAGGGGGAAAGCAGGGGAUCUUCGGACCUUGCGCUAAUAGAUGAGCCUAAGUCGGAUUAGCUAGUUGGUGGGGUAAAGGCCUACCAAGGCGACGAUCUGUAGCGGGUCUGAGAGGAUGAUCCGCCACACUGGGACUGAGACACGGCCCAGACUCCUACGGGAGGCAGCAGUGGGGAAUAUUGGACAAUGGGGGGAACCCUGAUCCAGCCAUGCCGCGUGUGUGAAGAAGGCCUUUUGGUUGUAAAGCACUUUAAGCGAGGAGGAGGCUACCGAGAUUAAUACUCUUGGAUAGUGGACGUUACUCGCAGAAUAAGCACCGGCUAACUCUGUGCCAGCAGCCGCCGUAACAC